GGGGCUUUUGGCAGAGGCAGGGGCCUGGGCGAGCUGGAAGGGGUCCCGGGGGUGGGGCUGAAGCGUGGGGGAAGCAAACUGGGUCCUACCUCUCUGUCUCCCGCAGAAGGGCAGGGUGAGAUGCCUCAGGAGAACUCUUGGCAACCCACAGAGCAGCAAGUCCAGAGAAGACGCUGGCAAGACCAAGAAAGAAUAUAUGAGGAAAAGGCCGAAAGGUUCAGGAAUCAAAUGGAAGAGGAUGCAGCGGUGGAAUCCUGCCCCGUGGGUGUCGAGUGGAAGAACCAGGCCCUUGAAGUCCUGAAUCGGCACAGAUAUCUAGAUGAUGCUUACUUCACNCGCGUAGAGGAUGGUUUUAUGUACGUCGAGGCAGCGUGUGGAGCUCAGGUGAAAAUCAGAAUGAUCCUGCAGAAAACCAACUGCACCAGAGAGCAGCUGGAGGAUAACGAGAGGCCUCUCACUAAUUCCUUCCUGGAAGAGGAACACUGCGAAGUUCUAGAGGGACCGGAGCAAGAGCAAAGGAACUGCACGUUCACGGUCGCCUGGGACGCGAGGUCUGGACACCAUAAAGUGAUCGAACAGGACUGCGACUACGUUUCAGGUUUCGGAGAAUGAAGAUUCUGCCAAGGGCCGGGCGGAAAAAAGCACGCCUCCUUCUCAGAGCGUAAUCGUUUAGAUGGAAGCCUGAAAACUGUUCCAUGGAAAGGGAGGUUCUGCAUCCCCUGCAGUCUUUCCUCGUGCUAGAAUCUCUGGUAGUUCUUUCUUUCCCUCUGAUCCGAAAUAAGACAAUAAAUUUUAACUUGCGC
rnacentral:lncRNA from 1 species